rnacentral:rRNA from 1 species
CAGUCGAGGGGCAGCACGGUAGCAAUACUGGUGGCGACCGGCAAACGGGUGCGGAACACGUACGCAACCUUCCUUUAAGAGAUGGAUAGCCCGAAGAAAUUCGGAUUAAUACAUCGUAAGAUUGUGGGAUGGCAUCAUCCAGCAAUUAAAGAUUUAUUUCGCUUAAAGAUGGGCGUGCGCCUGAUUAGGUAGUUGGUGAGGUAACGGCUCACCAAGCCGACGAUCAGUAACUGGCGUGAGAGCGCGACCAGUCACACGGGCACUGAGACACGGGCCCGACUCCUACGGGAGGCAGCAGUAAGGAAUAUUGGUCAAUGGACGCAAGUCUGAACCAGCCAUGCCGCGUGAAGGAUGAAAGCCCUCUGGGUUGUAAACUUCUUUUAUCUGGGAAGAAACCACUUUUUUCUAAGAGUGUUGACGGUACCAGAGGAAUAAGCACCGGCUAACUCCGUGCCAGCAGCCGCGGUAAUACGGAGGGUGCAAGCGUUAUCCGGAUUCACUGGGUUUAAAGGGUGCGUAGGCGGAUUAUUAAGUCCGUGGUGAAAUCUCCAAGCUUAACUUGGAAACUGCCAUGGAUACUAUUAGUCUUGAAUGUUGUGGAGGUUAGCGGAAUAUGUCAUGUAGCGGAGAAAUGCAUAGAUAUGACAUAGAACACCAAUUGCGAAGGCAGCUGGCUACACAAAUAUUGACGCUGAGGCACGAAAGCGUGGGGAUCAAACAGGAUUAGAUACCCUGGUAGUCCACGCCCUAAACGAUGAUUACUCGACAUUUGCGAUACACAGCAAGUGUCUGAGCGAAAGCAUUAAGUAAUCCACCUGGGAAGUACGACCGCAAGGUUGAAACUCAAAGGAAUUG